rnacentral:rRNA from 1 species
CUGGACAAACUUGCUUUGGCGGUGGGCCCCUGCCUGCCGCCAGAGGACAUAAACUUACAACCAAAUUUUUUAUAAACUUGUCACGAGAUUAUUUUUAAUAGUCAAAACUUUCAACAACGGAUCUCUUGGUUCUCGCAUCGAUGAAGAACGCAGCGAAAUGCGAUACGUAAUAUGAAUUGCAGAUAUUCGUGAAUCAUCGAAUCUUUGAACGCACAUUGCGCCCUCUGGUAUUCCGGAGGGCAUGCCUGUUUGAGCGUCGUUUCUCCCUCAAACCCCUAGGGUUUGGUGUUGAGCAAUACGACUUGGGUUUGCUUGAAAGAUGAUAGUGGUAUAAGGCGGAGAUGCUUGACAAUGGCUUAGGUGUAACCAAAAACAUUGCUAAGGCGGUCUCUGGCGUCGCCCAUUUUAUUCUUCAAACUUUGACCUCAAAUCAGGUAGGACUACCCGCUGAACUUAAGCAUAUCAAUA